rfam:Myotis davidii contig101018, whole genome shotgun sequence.
GGUGGCUCUCAGGUGAUGCACCCUGGAAUCGGGCUCCCUCCUCUCUGGUUCUGGGUGGAUCACCAGAGAACCACA